rnacentral:rRNA from 1 species
UAAAUUUUAUUUAUUAAUUUUAUUUAUUUAAGUAUUAUAUUUAAUAAAAAUAAUUUUAAUUCAAUAUAGUUUUAGUAUUUUUUAAAGAAAUAAUAAUUUUAAUAAUAGUUUAUUUGUAUUGUAAAAGAAGAUUGAAAUAAUUUGAAAAAUUUUUAUUUUAAAAGAAAAUUUAAUUUAUUGUACCUUGUGUAUCAGGGUUUAUUAAUUAAUUAAUUAUUAUAGUAAUUUUUCUCGAAUUUUAAAGAUUUAAUUAUAUAUAAAAGUUAUUGUGGAAUAAUUAUUUUUAAUAUAUAAUUAGAAAUGAAAUGUUAAUCGUUUUAAAAUAUAUCUAGUUUUUUAAGAAAUAAAUUUAAUUUAGAUUUAUAAAUUAAAAGUAUUAUUUAUUUAAUAUUUUUAAUUUAUAAAAUUAAUAUUUUAAGGGAUUAGCUUUAAAAUAAAUUUUUAAAUUUUAAAAAAGUAUUUAAUAAAUGUAAGCUUAAAAAUAGUUAUCAUUAAUAAAUUUGUUAUAAUUUAUUUUAAAUUUUUUAUUAUUUAUUAUAAAAUUAAAUUAUUUAUUAAAAUAUAAAUUUUAAUAUUAAUGAUUUAUAAAUUAUGGUAAAAUUAGUAUAUUUAAUUUAUAUAAAUUAUUUAAAUUGAGAGGUUUAAAUAAGGAAUUCGGCAAAUUAUAUAUUCACCUGUUUAUCAAAAACAUGUCUUUUUGUAUUUAAUUUAAAGUCUAACCUGCCCACUGAUAGAUAUUAAAGGGCCGCAGUAUUUUGACUGUGCGAAGGUAGCAUAAUCAGUAGUCUUUUAAUUGAAGGCUUGUAUGAAUGGUUGAAUGAGAUAUAUACUGUCUUUUUUAAAUUUUUAUAGAAUUUUAUUUUUUAAUUAAAAAGUUAAAAUAUAAUUAAAAGACGAGAAGACCCUAUAGAUCUUUAUUUUUUUUAAUUAUAAGUUAAAAAGAAUAAUUAAAUUUAUAAUUUUAUAAAAAAUUUUACUGGGGUGGUAUUAAAAUUUAAUUAACUUUUAUUAUUUGUUUACAUUAAUAUAUGUAUAUUUGAUCCAAUUUUAUUGAUUAAAAAAUUAAGUUACCUUAGGGAUAACAGCGUAAUUUUUUUUUAGAGUUCUUAUCGACAAAAAAGAUUGCGACCUCGAUGUUGGAUUAAGAAUUAUUUUUAGGUGUAGAAGUUUAAAGUUUAGGUCUGUUCGACCUUUGAAUUCUUACAUGAUCUGAGUUCAAACCGGCGUAAGCCAGGUUGGUUUCUAUCUUUAAUAAAUUAUUAUAUUAUAGUACGAAAGGACCUAAUAUAAAAAAUAUAAAUUUUAAAUUUAUGAAUUAUAUUAAUAUUUAAUAA